rnacentral:rRNA from 1 species
CCUACGGGUGGCAGCAGUGAGGAAUAUUGGUCAAUGGGCGCAAGGCUGAACCAGCCAAGUCGCGUGAGGGAUGACGGUCCUACGGGUUGUAGACCUCUUUUGCCGGGGAGCAAGCGUGCGUUCGUGACCGCGCGUCGAGGGUCCCCGGAGAAAAAGCAUCGGCUAACUCCGUGCCAGCAGCCGCGGUAAUACGGGGGAUGCGAGCGUUACCGGGAUUUAUUGGUUUUAAAGGGUGCGUGGGCGGGCUGCUAAGCCAGCGGUAAAAUUGCGGUGCUCAACGCCGUCGAGCCGUUGAAACUGGCGUUCUUGAGUGGGCGAGAGGUAUGCGGAAUGCGUGGUGUAGCGGUGAAAUGCAUAGAUAUCACGCAGAACUCCGAUUGCGAAGGCAGCGUGCCGGGGCGCUACUGACGCUGAGGCACGAAAGCGUGGGUAUCGAACAGGAUUAGAUACCCGAGUAGUC